GAGAGGAGCUGCUGCGGCGCUGGAGGCAUUCUGGAAACCCUAGGGGUUUCCUACUUCUGAAUUCGUUUUGGGCAUGGGUCGAAUUCAGGCUGAUGCUUAGGAUCGGGUUUAGUUUUAGUUUUUUUUUUAAUUGUAAUUGGGCUGUGUAAAUGGACAUUUAGGCUAAACUUAAAUAUUUUGUUUUUCUUUUCUUUUUUAUUUGGUUUAGCAAAAUGGGCCAGGCAAAUUGGCCUAUUACAUAAACUAUUUUAUCUAAUUCGACCUCUAAACUAUUUUAUCUAAUUCGAAGAGGUCGCCAAAUCCAGUGGGAGAAUUAGUUUGCGUAUAGGUAUGAAAUCG
rnacentral:lncRNA from 1 species